rnacentral:rRNA from 1 species
UACGUAGGGGUGCAAGCGUUUAAUCGGAAUUACUGGGCGUAAAGCGUGCGCAGGCGGUUAUAUAAGACAGUUGUGAAAUCCCCCGGGCUCAACCUGGGAACUGCAUCUGUGACUGUAUAGCUAGAGUACGGUAGAGGGGGGAUGGAAUUCCGCGUGUAGCAGUGAAAUGCGUAGAUAUGCGGAGGAACACCGAUGGCGAAGGCAAUCCCCCUGGACCUGUACUGACGCUCAUGCACGAAAAGCGUGGGGGAGCAAACAGG